GAAGCGGCAGCCACUUUUCUUUCUGCUUAUCUUGGGUGAUGAGUUUAAUGUUCAGUGAAACUGAAAAGACCGUGGCCUUGGUGGCCUCAGCUAUUUUUCUCGAGCCCUAGGUCCCCUGGGGUGGACCGUGGCUUGGCUUUUAUGCCUCCCUUCCCGGGCUGUGCCACUUUUGCAUGGCCUAGGAAGGGAGAGUGUCUCGGUGGCUGCUCAGGAUGGAGGCUCUUGGGCUGUGUCUGGCCUGAGGUUGCGCUUGCUGACCGUGCAGUGACUAGCAGCCCUGGGAGGUGGUGUUGGGGCCUGGGAGGCCUCCUUCCCUGGCCGUGCCUGGGGCCAGGGUGCUCUUAGGAGACGCUGGACCCCUGCCUACUGGGAGGCAGAGGGAUCAACAACACGACCUUCCAAGCACCUUCCUCUCCAAGGACCACAGGACAGGGGUAGCUACCAAACAAGAGCCUGAGUUUGAGAGGAUUUAAACGACGGGGGCAGCCACUGAGGGGCAACUGCAUGGAGCCCAACAGAGACCUAGGAUCCUUUUCUCAGGACAAGAAGCAGGAGAGGGCUUGGCCCCACUCACCCACAGUCUCGGGAUCCCAGCCCCAGUCUGAGGGCGUAGAGAACAGGAGGGAAGGGUCAGCGUCCUCUUCCUCAGGACACUGCCGGCUUGCUGGUCAAGGCUGCCUGUUCCCUACUUGUUCCUCCCCUGGCUUCUAUCUGGACCAGACCUCUUGGCCUUUUAUUUUUUAUUAUUUUUUUUGAGACAGGGUCUCAAUCUGUCACCCACGCUGGAGUGCAGUGGCGCCAUCUCUGCUCACUGCAAUCUCUACUUCUGGAGUUCAAGUGAUUCUCAUGCCUCAGCCUCCUGAGUAGCUGGGAUUACAGGUGUGCGCCACCACACCUGGCUAAUUUUUGUAUUUUUAGUAGAGAUGGGGUUUUACCACAUUGACCAGGCUGGUCUUGAGCUCCUGACCUCAAGUGAUCCGCCUGCCUUGGCCUCCCAUGGUGCUGGGAUUACAGGUGUAAGCCACCGCACCCGGCCCCUCUUGGUCCUUUGACCUCUGCAUCCCCCAGACCCCAGCAGCUGCUCUUGGCUUCCCGCUCAUGGUUUCAACUCCCCGGAGACGGCCAGAGCCCCUCCAUGCCUCAGCCCUCCUGGCAGAUGCCUGCAGCUCAGGAGAUUGAAUUUAUUCAUAUUUCCAGGUGCUGUACAUUCUGAUGAGGUUCUUCUCCGGAUCUCCUGCCCAGAAAAGGAUAAAUAUUUCUGAUCUAUAGCAAAUGUGUUUUCCUUUAGCUAACAUCUUGGCAGAUCUGGAGAAGAAUCGCAGUCCAUGAAAUCUGCAUCUCUUGAAAGAAAAACCCAGAAGGCCACCUCCCUAUCAAAGGCAGAAUGAACCCAGUUUGGAAACGUGUUUAAAAUGCACGGGGGAGUGGCAACCAUCCUAAAUUACCCCGCUAGCCCUCCCGAGAUGGGCAGGAGAGGCCGGCGGGUGGCCUGCUGAGCCUGGGAGGCAGAGACGGGGAGUGAAGCCACAUGGCCCCAUGGGGCCAUCCAGCACUGCAGAGGUCUCAGCAGCAUCCCGCCCCCGACAGGUGCCACGUGACCCCCAAGCUGAACACAGAGCACACACCCACAAGACUACAAAAUCUCCCAACAGCCUCAUUUCAUAGAACUGCAUUUCGCUGACUUCUGUAGGAUGCGUGGCCAGGGAACCCUUUGAGGGAAUCCUCGAGAAGGUGCCCUGAGUUUACAGAGUGGGCAAUGUCCCCUCAAGGACAAACUCUUCCGCUGACCCCCCCCCCCC
rnacentral:lncRNA from 10 species